UCGCUCAGGUCUCCCAGCAUCGACGAAUAUGCGUUUCGCCUUUUACUAAACGCAUCCGUGCUGGGGGACACUUACAAUGAGCCUAAAUGGCAAUUUUAAUCUUAUAUCUUAUUAUCUUUA
rnacentral:snRNA from 1 species